AUGGAAGAGGAAAACCAGAGGGGAGUGGUACACUUCCACUUCCACUUCUUUUCAACAGACCUGGUGGUGGCUUCCUUUAUAAUUGUGGCCUUGAUGUUGCACCAAGAAGCCUUGUUGGACACUUCACCUUUGGGCCCACAGUCUGGCAAGAUCCCUUCCUCCAUAUUCCAAUGUAUUUAUUUUUAUUUUUUUGGCAUUGACUAUGUUGGAAAUUGGCUACUCCACCAACAUUUCUCCUCCAACACUGGCUACCGUCCUUUACAUGGGGAAGAUGCUUAUCUCCCUCCCUGGCUAUGGAACUCAGAUGCUCUUUGUCAUCCUUUUGAGAGGAUCUGAGUGUGUCUUGCUUGCUGUCAUGGCUUAUGAUAGGUAUAUAACCAUCUGUCAUCCAUUCAAUUACAAUCUCAUCAUGAGUGGGUAGCUCUGUGGGCAGAUGACUUUGGGCUCUUUGAGGCUGGGAUUCCUGUUGUCACUGUUUUUGACUAUGUUGAUCUGACACCCUCCAUUCUGUGGCCUAAUGAAACCUACCACUUCUUCUGUGACAUGCCCACAGCAAGUGCCUGGUCUGUGCAGACACCACAUGCAUGAGUCAGCUCUCUGACUUCCGUGUGGCCACCAUCACCAUCCCCUUCCUUCCUCCUUGUCUGCCUCCCCUAUGGCUGCCUUGCAGCCACCAUCUUGAGGAUGCAUUCAGCUAAGAGAAAGCACUAGGCCUUCUCUACCAGUUCCUCCCACCUCAUUGUGGUUCUCCUGAAGUAUUGGUGUUGCAUCCUCAUCUGCCUUUGCCCCAGCUCUAGUUACUCCCCAGAGGAGGGCUGGGAGGUAUCUCUUGUUCACAUGUUUUUCUCCCGGUGUGGAAUCCCUUGAUCUAUAGCGUAUGGAACCAAGACGUAACUGAUGCAGUAGAGAGACUUGUGGCAAGAAUGUCCUUGUUCUAACAGCCAGAAAUAUUCCUUCUUAAAAAAUAUUUCCCU
rnacentral:lncRNA from 1 species